rnacentral:sRNA from 1 species
GUGUCCCAUCAAUAAUAAUGCUGAUGAAGGUUGGUGGGGGGAGAGGCCUGGGCUUUACUCAGGUUUCGAAGAAGGUUUUGUGAAGCAGCUUUGUAAUUUGAGAGGCCUGAAGUACCCAUGGGGGGCCCUGCAAGGCAUCUAUCAAAAGCACGCCCAAGCAAGUGAGUUGUUGACAAUGCCACACUGCUUGACGCUUAGUUUCUUUAAAGAGGUCCUGUGCGUCUGGAGGGCUGGGGCUGAGUUGUGACCUUGUCUGCCAGUUCACUGCACCCAGCCCAGCGCUAGGCAUCUAACAGGUGCUUCUCUGUGCCAUGGCCACUGCUAACUGCUGACUUUGUUUCAGGCACUAUGCUGGGCCUUCCUACCACCUGUGUGUGGCUUGGUAGUGGCCUAGGGUCUCUCCUCCCUGCUGAAGUCCCUUUCCUGCAGGUGGCCGUCUGCCCGGCCCAACGCCAUGCACACGCUUGUGUUCUUGAGCACGCGGCAGGUGCUGCAGUGCCAGCCAGCUGCCUGCCAGGCCCUGCCCCUGCUGCCACGCGAACUCUUCCCGCUGCUGUUCAAGGUGGCCUUCAUGGACAAGAAGACAGUGGUACUGCGUGAGUUGGUACACACGUGGCCCUUCCCGCUGCUCAGUUUCCAGCAGCUGCUACAGGAGUGUGCCCACUGCAGCCGUGCCCUCCUGCAGGAGCGGCCUAGCACUGAGAGCAUGCAGGCUGUUAUCCUGGGGCUGACUGCCCGGCUCCACACCUCAGAGCCUGGGGCCAGCACACAGCCCCUCUGCAGCAUGCGCUGCGGGUGCUGGACAUGACAGGCCUCUUGGAUGAUGGUGUGGAACAGGAUCCUGGCACCAUGAGCAUGUGGGACUGUACUGCUGCCGUAGCUCGCACAUGCAUCGCCCAGCAGCAGGGUGGGGCCGCAGAGCCUGGGCCAGCCCCCAUCCCUGUGGAGGUGCGUGUGGACCUGCGGGUGAACCGGGCCUCCUAUGCAUUCCUGCGGGAGGCGCUCCGAAGCAGCGUGGGCAGCCCACUGCGGCUCUGCUGCCGGGACCUGCGAGCUGAGGACCUGCCCAUGCGCAACACUGUGGCCCUGCUGCAGCUUCUGGAUGCAGGCUGCCUGCGCCGCGUGGACCUGCGCUUCAACAAUCUGGGCCUGCGCGGCCUGUCUGUAAUCAUCCCACACGUGGCCCGCUUCCAGCACCUGGCCAGCCUGCGGCUCCACUAUGUGCAUGGGGAUUCAAGGCAGCCGUCCGUGGAUGGCGAGGACAACUUCCGCUACUUCCUUGCCCAGAUGGGCCGCUUCACCUGUCUGCGUGAGCUCAGCAUGGGCUCCUCUCUCCUUUCAGGGAGGCUGGACCAGCUGCUCAG